rnacentral:tRNA from 1 species
GAUUUGUUAGCUCAGUGGUUAGAGCGCCGUGUGAGAAACACGGAAGGUUAUGAGUUCGAUCCUCAUACAUGUCA